UGGUGGAGUGAUUUGUCUGGUCAAUUCCGUUAACGAACGAGACCUCGACCUGCUAAAUAGUUCGGCUUAGCGUUCGCGCUAAGUAGGUGACUUCUUAGAAGGACUAUCGGUUUUUAGCCGAUGGAAGUUCGAGGCAAUAACA
rnacentral:rRNA from 1 species